rnacentral:lncRNA from 1 species
ACAUUAUCGUGCCAAGUUCCUUAUCCUCGUUGGAAAUUUCCCAACUAGGAAAGGUUAAUAUACUCACUUAUUUCAGAAUUUUCUCAUUCACUCGCUCAAAUUCUCUCAUAAAGAAGAAGAAGAACGGUUCUUAUUGCCUUCCUACUCAACCCUUCUUAAAACCCUAAUAUCCACUAUGCUUCUCCUCCACGACCAUUGGAACCUAACCUCCAC